GACGAACGCUGGCGGCGUGCUUAACACAUGCAAGUCGAACGGUAAGGCCCUUCGGGGUACGACGAGUGGCGAACGGGUGGAGUAACACGUGGGUGAUCUGCCCUGCACUUCGGGAUAAGCCUGGGAAACUGGGUCUAAUACCGGAUAGGACCAUGGACUUCACGGUUUGUGGUGGAAAGCUUUUGCGGUGUGGGAUGGGCCCGCGGCCUAUCAGCUUGUUGGUGGGGUAAUGGCCUACCAAGGCGACGACGGGUAGCCGGCCUGAGAGGGUGUCCGGCCACACUGGGGACUGAGAUACGGCCCAGACUCCUACGGGAGGCGGCAGUGGGGAAUAUUGCACAAUGGGCGGCAAGACCUGAUGCAGCGACGCCGCGUGAGGG
rnacentral:rRNA from 1 species